rnacentral:rRNA from 1 species
AGUGAACGCUGGCGGUAGGCCUAACACAUGCAAGUCGAACGGCAGCACAGUAAGAGCUUGCUCUUACGGGUGGCGAGUGGCGGACGGGUGAGGAAUACAUCGGAAUCUACUUUUUCGUGGGGGAUAACGUAGGGAAACUUACGCUAAUACCGCAUACGACCUACGGGUGAAAGCAGGGGAUCUUCGGACCUUGCGCGAUUGAAUGAGCCGAUGUCGGAUUAGCUAGUUGGCGGGGUAAAGGCCCACCAAGGCGACGAUCCGUAGCUGGUCUGAGAGGAUGAUCAGCCACACUGGAACUGAGACACGGUCCAGACUCCUACGGGAGGCAGCAGUGGGGAAUAUUGGACAGUGGGCGCAAGCCUGAUCCAGCCAUACCGCGUGGGUGAAGAAGGCCUUCGGGUUGUAAAGCCCUUUUGUUGGGAGAGAAAAGCAGCAGGUUAAUACCCCGCUGUUCUGACGGUACCCAAAGAAUAAGCACCGGCUAACUUCGUG